rnacentral:rRNA from 1 species
UACAGAGGGUGCGAGCGUUAAUCGGAAUUACUGGGCGUAAAGCGCACGUAGGUGGCGACGUAAGUCGGGUGUGAAAGCCCCGGGCUCAACCUGGGAAUUGCAUUCGAGACUGCAUUGCUGGAGUACGGAAGAGGAAGGCGGAAUUCCCGGUGUAGCGGUGAAAUGCGUAGAUAUCGGGAGGAACAUCAGUGGCGAAAGGGCGGCCUUCUGGUCCAGUACUGACACUCAAGUGCGAAAGCGUGGGGAGCAACAGG